AAGAUCUAAAGCAAGUCUCAAGCACAACUAAUAUUGAGCAGAAUAGAGAGCAGGGAGAUUCAGGUGGAUAUUGGACUGGAAUGCUGGGUGGUGGUGGAGGAUCAUGGCAAAGCUAGACAGAUAGAAGAAAAUAAUUAAUCUGGGUGGGUCUUAUUUUCUACUUUUUUUUUUUAUUUUUUAAGAAAAAAAAAUAUUAAUUUGGGUGACCC
rnacentral:misc_RNA from 1 species